AAGACCUUCUUUGAAGGUAUGCUUAAGGAGGGGCUUGCGACACAUUAGUUAGUUGGCAGGGUAAAGGCCUACCAAGACUAUGAUGUGUAGCUGGACUGAGAGGUUGAACAGCCACAUUGGGACUGAGACACGGCCCAAACUCCUACGGGAGGCAGCAGUAGGGAAUUUUCGGCAAUGGAGGAAACUCUGACCGAGCAACGCCGCGUGAACGAUGAAGUACCUCGGUAUGUAAAGUUCUUUUAUUAAGGAAGAAAAAAGAGUGGAAAAACUCCCUUGACGGUACUUAAUGAAUAAGCCCCGGCUAAUUAUGUGCCAGCAGCCGCGGUAAUACAUAAGGGGCGAGCGUUAUCCGGAAUUAUUGGGCGUAAAGGGUGCGUAGGCGGUUUAAUAAGUCUAUAGUUUAAUUUCAGCGCUUAACGCUGUUGUGCUAUAGAAACUGUUUUACUAGAGUGAGUUAGAGGCAAGCGGAAUUCCAUGUGUAGCGGUAAAAUGCGUAAAUAUAUGGAGGAACACCAGAGGCGUAGGCGGCUUGCUGGGACUUUACUGACGCUGAGGCACGAAAGCGUGGGGAGCAAACAGGAUUAGAUACCCUGGUAGUCCACGCCGUAAACGAUGAGUACUAAGUGUCGGGUAAAACCGGUACUGAAGUUAACACAUUAAGUACUCCGCCUGAGUAGUACGUACGCAAGUAUGAAACUUAAAGGAAUUGACGGGACUCCGCACAAGCGGUGGAUCAUGUUGUUUAAUUCGAAGAUACACGAAAAACCUUACCAGGUCUUGACAUUUUCUUGCGAAGUUAUAGAAAUAUAAUGGAGGUUAUCAGGAAAACAGGUGGUGCAUGGUUGUCGUCAGCUCGUGUCGUGAGAUGUUAGGUUAAGUCCUAAAACGAGCGCAACCCUUGUCGUUAAUUGCCAGCAUGUAAUGAUGGGGACUUUAACGAGACUGCCAAUGAAAAAUUGGAGGAAGGUGGGGAUUACGUCAAAUCAUCAUGCCCCUUAUGAUCUGGGCUACAAACGUGAUACAAUGGUUGAUACAAAGAGUAGCUGAAACGCGAGUUCUUAGCCAAUCUCACAAAAUCAAUCUCAGUUCGGAUUGAAGUCUGCAACUCGACUUCAUGAAGUUGGAAUCGCUAGUAAUCGCGAAUCAGCAUGUCGCGGUGAAUACGUUCUCGGGGUUUGUACACACCGCCCGUCAAACCACGAAAGUCGGCAAUACCCCAAAGCGGUCACCUAACUUCGCAAGAAG
rnacentral:rRNA from 1 species